CAGUCGCCGCGGGAAUACGGAGGGUGCAAGCGUUAUCCGGAUUUAUUGGGUUUAAAGGGUCCGUAGGCGGAUCUGUAAGUCAGUGGUGAAAUCUCACAGCUUAACUGUGAAACUGCCAUUGAUACUGCAGGUCUUGAGUAAAUUUGAAGUGGCUGGAAUAAGUAGUGUAGCGGUGAAAUGCAUAGAUAUUACUUAGAACACCAAUUGCGAAGGCAGGUCACUAAGAUUUAACUGACGCUGAUGGACGAAAGCGUGGGGAGCGAACAGGAUUAGAUACCCGGGUAGUCCCUGUCUCUUAUAC
rnacentral:rRNA from 1 species